UUAAAUCUAUUGAUUGAGAAAAGUAAGCGAGAAGGGAAGCUUAAGCGAGUCGGAGUUGGUGGAAGUCCGAUAGUGAAACUGCGCUGAACAGAACUCAUGAAGAGGUUCCCGGAAAUUAUAGUAUGGAAGCCCGGUUAAAUACCGUUAUAAUGAAAGAGAUGAAGCGAUAGCUUUAAAUAGAGUGGUAACGUGGAUAGAUUCCGCCUCUUGU
rnacentral:ncRNA from 1 species